rnacentral:pre_miRNA from 1 species
UUACUACUCCUUCCGUCCGGAAAUACUUGUCACAAGAAUGGAUGUAUCCAGAUGUUCUAGAUACAUCCAAUUUUAUCCAUUUGUGCGACAAGUAAUUCCGGACGGAGGGAGUACUAU